rnacentral:lncRNA from 1 species
UAAUAAUCCACCAUAAGCUCAGUGGCUGAAAACAAAAAUGAUUAUAAAUAUGCUCACUUACUCUGUGGGUCAAGAAUUCUCAAAACAUAUAGUGGUCUUCGCUUUUCUCUGACCCACAGUGAGACUUCAGUUAAGCAUGAUUCCAAAGCUUGAGAUGACUCACUGACUGAGAACUGGAAUCAUCUAAAGGCUCCUGCAUUUGUGUAGAUUGCAGCUGACUGGGACCUUAGCUGGGACUUCUGGUUGGAAGUCAACAACACUGGCUGUCUGUGUGGAUGCUUGGACUUCCUCAGAGCAUGGCGACUGGAUUCCAAGAAGAUGGGUCUGGCUCUGUCACCCAGGCUGGAGUGCAGUGGCACAAUCACAGCUCACUCCAGCCUUGAACUCCUGGACUCAAGUGAUCCCCUUGCUUCAGCCUCACAAAUAGCUGGGACUACUGGAGUACACCACAACUCCCAGAUAAUUUUUAAAAUGAUCAGCUACGUCCAACCUUCAAACGUCCAGUAAAAUUAAAACUGAGAA